rnacentral:rRNA from 1 species
CGAACGGGUGAGUAACGCGUGAGGAACCUGCCUCAAAGAGGGGGACAACAGUUGGAAACGACUGCUAAUACCGCAUAAGCCCACGGCUCGGCAUCGAGCAGAGGGAAAAGGAGCAAUCCGCUUUGAGAUGGCCUCGCGUCCGAUUAGCUAGUUGGUGAGGUAACGGCCCACCAAAGCGACGAUGGAUAGGGGUUCUGAGAGGAAGGUCCCCCACAUUGGAACUGAGACACGGUCCAA